rnacentral:tRNA from 2 species
GGCGAUGUAGCUCAGCCGGUUAGUAGCGCCAAACUCAUAAUUUGGAGGUCGCUGGUUCAAGUCCAGCCAUCGCCA